rnacentral:rRNA from 1 species
GAUGAACGCUAGCGACAGGCCUAACACAUGCAAGUCGAGGGGCAGCACAUGAGUAGCAAUACGAUGGUGGCGACCGGCGCACGGGUGAGUAACACGUAUGCAACCUGCCUUCUACUAUGGGAUAACCCGUUGAAAGACGGACUAAUACCGUAUAAUACAGGGGCUCCGCAUGGAGAUCUUUGUUAAAGAUUUAUUGUUAGAAGAUGGGCAUGCGUAUGAUUAGUUAGUUGGUGAGGUAACGGUUCACCAAGUCAACGAUCAUUAGGGGUUCUGAGAGGAAGGUACCCCACACUGGUACUGAGACACGGACCAGAAUCCUACGGGAGGCAGCAGUGAGGAAUAUUGGUCAAUGGACGAGAGUCUGAACCAGCCAAGUCGCGUGAAGGAAGACGGUUCUAUGAAUUGUAAACUUCUUUUGUGCAGGAAUAAAGUGGGUUACGUGUAACCUUUUGUAUGUACUGUACGAAUAAGGAUCGGCUAACUCCGUGCCAGCAGCCGCAGUAACAC